rnacentral:lncRNA from 1 species
GCGGCGGUUCACCUCCGACACGCGCUGGACCUGCGGCCCGACUUCGAGCCCGCGCUGGCCGCGCUCAAAGACAUUGAGAACAUCCCGGAGGCAUCCGUGCACGUCUACACGCUACUCAUCAUUGUCUGUUUGGUGAUGGGAGUUCUCCUAGUAAUACUGUCGUCAGUGGACAACGGUGGUGACGCAGAAGAACACAAAACCCAAAGGCAUUUCAACCGCGCAAUGGCCAUGCGGUCCCUGCGGGGCGUGGCGCUGGGCGGCCCGCGGGGCAGGAAGAAAGGAUUCUAAAUUAUACAAACACCCUGUUUUAUUCACGAACGUUGGUAGGGUUAAGUCUCUCAGUUAACUUCAGGUGCCUAUAGAGUGAGAUAAAAGAUAAGUCUUGUCAACGUUCGUGAAUAAUCUGAGCCGAGUUGCGAUCUCCUAUUUUAAAAUGGCCGGAAUACAAGUUGAACCGAAAUGGCCGCUAUCUGAUCGGAUGCUGUAAGUCAAACGCACAUCUACCUUGAUUGGCACUGUUUUUGUUGUGCAUUUUUAUGCGUUGAAUAUUGUCUACUAAAUUGUCGUUUGAAUUGAUAUCAUGGUUACUUUAGAAAAACUGUUGUGAUUUCAACUUAUUUUUAUGUGACGCAAUUUCUUUUUUUUUUCUAGUUCUUAUGGGCAUUUGCGUCAAAAGUAAAUGUCUGAAUUCAAUGCUUGCAAUGAGUAUUUUUUCUUUUUGAUUAUUUUUAUUUUUCAGUUUAAUAGAAAAUCAUGAAUUAUUAUGGAUAAACAAACGAAAUAAAAUUUAUAUGAAAUUUCCGUUGUUACAACAGACUAUUUACAGUAGUCGUAUUGUUAAUUACAUUUUUUUUCUUAUGUGGGAAAAUUUGCAUAUGCCUUUGUACUUAUUAGUUGUAAAGUAAAACCCCGAGAUAUGCAACUCGAAGCUCAAAACUGAUCAGUAUGAAACAUUUUACUGCUUAUGAAAUGCAAAUUUGAAAGUAUUUUGUAUCGCUACUAUUGUCUGAUGCGACAAAUAAUGUUCCCGACUCAAUGUUAUUCAGUAAUUGUUUUGCCGACUUAUAAAAAGGAGGUCAUGAAUGUGAAGGAACAUGUACUCAUGAGAGGCUAUUGUACAAAAAAUAUGUUACGUGAAAGUGACCGAGAGGUCUUGCCAUGUCUCAUUUGAUCUCUGCUUAUAGUCACCUCGGUGAUAUGUGGUGUUCCCUUUAACAGUUUGAAAAUUUUUCAUAUUUUACAUUUUAUCAAAAAAGUCUACAAUAAAAAAUCCACUUUGUUCUCGUUUAAAUAUUUGUAAGGUAAUGUUCUGAUUUUUAAACAGAAACUGCUUUAUGAGCAAUAACUAAAAAUAAAAAUGUAGCUAGUACUAGUGAUUGGAUUCUGUACGAACACGGAUUUCGUGAUCGGAAACGCCUGGUAAAUGAAACAUUCGCAAAAUGCCAACUUCUACAGACAAGAAAAGGUAAAAAGCGAAACAGCGAUAGCUUUUCGCGCGAUAAAAACUGCGUCGCGCGUGCCAUACUACGGGGGCAGGAGCUGAUAGGAAUACAAACAAUGUUCCGAAAUUAAGUAAGGGAAAAGGAAAAUUUUUAUAAUUAUUUAUUAUUCUAAACUUUGCUUUAUCUAUCCAUUCAACAUAGCAAAUAUGAGUGCACUACCAAGUCACUAAACAAAUAUGUAGAAUAGUUGGCAUUUCACGAAUUUGCUCAUGGCAUUAGCAAUUAAACUGCAAAUAAAAUAUAAAAUUCAGGACAACCAUUAUACAGACUUCUGCGAGAACAUAACAAUGUCAACUUUGCAUCGAGACUCGAGAGUAACCCGUCUGCAACCUAGUCAUUCACUUAGACAAGUUUGGUCCCGACAGGGGCGAGUGUGUAAUUCGUAUUGUAGUGCAUGCAAAGUAAACUUGUAAGUGUUCGUAGCUUCUAAGGAUUAAAGGGAGGAGUUAAAAUUCUGAGAUUGGUAAAAAUGUACCUGUUUUCAGUGGUUCUUUUGUUAAUUUUUGACUAUUUAUAACUUAAUACAUGAUUGUCUUAGCAUC